GAUAAGGUUAAGUGAAUAAGGGCGCACGGUGGAUGCCUUGGCACUAGGAGCCGAUGAAGGACGGGACUAACACCGAUAUGCUUUGGGGAGCUGUAAGUAAGCUAUGAUCCAGAGAUUUCCGAAUGGGGGAACCCAAUAUCUUUUAUAGGAUAUUACUUUUCAGUGAAUACAUAGCUGAUUAGAGGUAGACGCAGAGAACUGAAACAUCUUAGUACCUGCAGGAAGAGAAAGAAAAUUCGAUUCCCUGAGUAGCGGCGAGCGAAACGGGAAGAGCCCAAACCAACAAGCUUGC
rnacentral:rRNA from 1 species